rnacentral:lncRNA from 1 species
ACACACACACACACACACACACACACUCAAGCACAAAGUAUAAAUAUAAAAUCUUAAAAAAAAAAAAGGAAGAGGGAAGACUUAACUUUUCAGUGAUCACAACACAACACUGUGUUUCCAGUAAUUUAUGAAUGAGAUUGAGAAGACGAGGGACACAUAGACAGUAGAAGUGCAUUGCACCCCAUAACCCUCCCUGGAAAAGCCAAAACAUUCAUACAGCAGGCUCCAAAGUUUUCCAUGCCUUAGCCUUGCCUCUGAGGCUUGUACCUUGCUUAUGCCUUUCUGGCUUACAUACCUUCUUGCUUAGUCACAGUUACUUCUGCCCUGAGUAGGGCCUUUUCUUAGUGUCUACCAAGGUUCUUCCUACCCACUCAAAUGAGACCAGUCAGCUGUGAUAUCCCUGGUGAAGGUUGCAGCUGUUCUUCCCUUCUGUCCUCUAAAGUUCUGGACUGUUGUUUGUCUCCCAUAUUCUGCUGCUGCUCCUCCUCCUUCUCCUCCUCCUCUUCUCCUUCUGUUCCUCCUUCUCCUCUUUCCUUCUCCUCCUCCUCCUUCUUCUCCUCCUCCCUUUUCUUUUACAUAACACCUAGUGUGGUCCUAUGUUGUUAUGUUAAAAUUACUGUUUCACCACCUCCAUGCAGAACAUAUAGAAUAUAAACUCCAUGAUCAGUGCUAUAGUCCAACCACUUAAAACAAUCAUUAGCACUAACAUACAGCUAGUAAAACUUUUCCAAAUGAAACAAGUGAAUGGUGAAUGAAUGAACCUUAACAUAAAGAAAUCUUGUCUGGUGUAAAAGUUGUUUCUUUGUUUCACCUGUGUCUUUCUUUUUGUGGUAUAUGGGAAGUGAGCAGUCUACUACUGCACUAAUCCCUAGAAAAGGGUAGGUAACUUUCUUCAGAAGAAAACAUACAAGACCCAUAGAAAAGAAUUCCUAUCAGAAGAUAAUCUCUUAAGUGAAAACUCAUGUGAUGGUCAGACUCCUCUGUAUGCAGCAUCAAAAUUCUAGUUAGACCAGCCUUCUCUAAUUCAAUUAUUAUUGUAAUCAAGUAUUUCUCCUUUUCUACCAGUUGGAUCAUUUCCCCUACAUGUACUAAAACCCAUUUAUGAACCUGAUAGCUCAAAAGAGGUGAAAAUUUUCAUAAGAAAAAAAAUGCAUGCUGUGAGCAUAUACUUAUGUGUGAGCUGAGGAUUAGAGUUCAGGUGUUCAUGCUUGUACAGCAAACAGUCUUACUGAAUCUUCUCACUAGCUCUCAAAUAUAUUUUACUAAGUGCCCAUGAAUGAAUUUCUAAAUUUUUAAAUUUUGUAUAUUUAAAUGUUUAUAUAAACCUUACUUUUUCUUUUGUGUUUUAAUAUUGCCAACCCACUUAAUGUGUGUUGUGUGUGGCUGUGUGAAAUUUGACUGUAAGAAUGUAGUGCAUAAGUCUAACAGUUGUUUCCGUUACAGUGAUAUUUACGAAUAAAGCUACUGCAGCUCUUCUUUCUCUUUCCAUUCUGCCUUCCCUUUUUCCUUGCCUUGUGUUGGUUAGAACUUCCAG